CAACAGGGAUUACCUCAGUAACGGCGAGUGAAGCGGUAACAGCUCAAAUUUGAAAGCUAGCUCUUUUAGGGUUCGCAUUGUAAUUUGUAGAAGAUGCUUCGGGUGUGGCCCCGGUCUAAGUUCCUUGGAACAGGACGUCAUAGAGGGUGAGAAUCCCGUAUGUGACUGGGUGCUUUCGCUCAUGUGAAGCUCUUUCGACGAGUCGAGUUGUUUGGGAAUGCAGCUCAAAAUGGGUGGUAAAUUUCAUCUAAAGCUAAAUAUUGGCCAGAGACCGAUAGCGCACAAGUAGAGUGAUCGAAAGAUGAAAAGCACUUUGGAAAGAGAGUUAAACAGUACGUGAAAUUGUUGAAAGGGAAGCGCUUGCAACCAGACUUGCGCGCUGAUGAUCAUCCGGGCUUCUGCCCGGUGCACUCGUCUGCGCUCAGGCCAGCAUCGGUUUCGGUGGUGGGAUAAAGGCCUUGGGAAUGUAGCUCCUCUCGGGGAGUGUUAUAGCCCUCGGUGCAAUGCCGCCUACCGGGACCGAGGACCGCGCUUCGGCUAGGAUGCUGGCGUAAUGGUUGUAAGCGACCCGUCUUGAAACACGGACCAAGGAGUCUAACAUCUAUGCGAGUGUUUGGGUGUCAAACCCAUACGCGUAAUGAAAGUGAACGGAGGUGAGAACCCUUAAGGGUGCAUCAUCGACCGAUCCUGAUGUCUUCGGAUGGAUUUGAGUAAGAGCAUAGCUGUUGGGACCCGAAAGAUGGUGAACUAUGCGUGAAUAGGGUGAAGCCAGAGGAAACUCUGGUGGAGGCUCGCAGCGGUUCUGACGUGCAAAUCGAUCGUCAAAUUUGCGUAUAGGGCGAAAGACUAAUCGA
rnacentral:rRNA from 1 species